rnacentral:rRNA from 1 species
CCUACGGGGGCUGCAGUAAGGAAUAUUGGUCAAUGGACGCAAGUCUGAACCAGCCAUGCCGCGUGGAGGAUGAAGGUCCUCUGGAUUGUAAACUUCUUUUAUUUGGGAAGAAACUCCCGAUUUCCAUCGGGAUUGACGGUACCAGAUGAAUAAGCACCGGCUAACUCCGUGCCAGCAGCCGCGGUAAUACGGGGGGUGCACGCAUUAUCCGGGUUCAAAGGGUUUAAAGGUUGGCAGGGUGGGCAGUUAAGAAAUCUCCGGGCUUAACCCGGAAACUGCCAUUGAUACUAUUUGUCUUGAAUACUCUGGAGGUGAGCGGAAUAUGUCAUGUAGCGGUGAAAUGCUUAGAUAUGACAUAGAACACCCAUUGCGAAGGCAGCUCACUACGGAAAUAUUGACGCUGAGGCACGAAAGCGUGGGGAUCAAACAGGAUUAGAUACCCGUGUAGUC